UGGGGUUCAAGAUCAAUUCCUAGGGCUGGUUGAUUUUUUAUGGUCACAACAGUAAUAUGGCAUCAUUUGUUUCUUGAUCAGCUGAGAAACACUGCAGAGAAGGAUCUUUCUAUUCAAAGAUAUGCUGUCAUUCCAUUGUCUCCAAACAGCGGAUUAAUAGGAUGGGUACCAAAUUGUGACACCCUGCUCCAUCUCAUUCGGAGUAAAGAGAUGCUAGAAAGGUCCGCUAAGGUUCAUUUGAUGCUCUAUGUGUGUGUGUGUGUGUGUGUGUGCGUGUACGCGCAUUUCGUCUAAUUUUUUGUGCAUGUUUCUGGUAUAUAGAUCACCUUAAAUCUAGAGCACAAACAUAUGCUUAAUUUUGCUAAAGAUUAUAACCAUUUGCCACUUAUAGCUAAAGUGGAGGUGUUUGAGUAUGCUCUGCAAAAUAGUGAAGGAAAUGACCUGGCAAGGGUGUUUUAGUUAAAAAGUUGCACUUUUGAGAAUUGGCUGGACAGGAGGACAAAUUAUACUAGAAGCUUGGCUGUCAUGAGCAUGGUAUCAUUUUUCUUCUCGUAUUAUUUAGAUCUUUUUCUUAAGACCAGCAAGAUUCGGCUAUAUAUGUUUCCACAAAAUCAACACAAUAUGGCUCCCAUGUAUGAUCUUAUUUGUCAACCUUUUAUGCUUUAGAAAUGUUUAGAUAAGAGAAUGUUUCGAAGUAAAUGUAUGUUAUUUGAUUAUACUUUUCUUUCUUUGGUUAGAAUGAUAUACUAAGAAGGAACCCUGCAAAUCACUAACUUAAUUUGUGAAUAUAUACCCAAUACAAUUGUGUGAUUAGGUGUCUAAAGUAUUUGAAUGCUUGUGUACAUAUCUUUCAUUGUGUAGAUAUAUGAUUUUUUGGGUACUGAUAUUCUUUCCGUUGUAUACAGGGAUUCUUUGUUAUUCUUUCAUGGAUGCCUAUAUAUUUUAAA